rnacentral:lncRNA from 1 species
UUCUUUAAUAUAUUUGCAAUUUUAUCAUUAAAAAUAUAUACAAAUAAAUAAAACAAAAUACAAACACACACACACACUUUCACUAUUUUUAUUCUUUUCUUUUACAUCCACAAAAUACAAAUACAAAUACAAAUUCAAAAUAAAUAAAUAAAAAUACACCAACACACACAUCCCCUUUGUUAUUAUUAUUUUCUUUUCUUUUCUUCUUUUUUUUCUUUUACAUCCAAAUACAAAUACAACUUCAAAUUCAAAAUAAACAAAUAAAAAUUACAUUAAUUAAUUUAAAAAUUACAAAAACAGUCCCUAAAAUUCUAAAAAAUUUCAGGGAAGGACUUCUGCAGCCGGAACAGUGUUCGUCAUGGUUUCUGGGCUCGGGAACAGUGGGGGCGCGUGGAUCUCACACGCCACCACCACUGGCGGCGCGUGGGUCCACGCGCCGCCACAGAAAAUAAAACAGCAACAGGGGGUCUGGAUCGCCUUCUUCCCCUCUUCCUUCGUCGCCGGCGAUAACCUGCAAAGCAAACCCCCAACACAACAAGCAGUUGAUUUUAUUUUUUUGUCUUAGAUCUGCUUUUAAUUUUUUUGUUUUCUCCGAUCUGUUCCUUCUCCUUCUCUUCUUCUCGGCUUCGGAUCUGCU